CCCCAGACUCCUACGGGAGGCAGCAGUCGGGAAUAUUGCGCAAUGGAGGAAACUCUGACGCAGUGACGCCGCGUAUAGGACGAAGGUCUUCGGAUUGUAAACUAUUGUCGUUAGGGAAGAGAAAGGACAGUACCUAAGGAGGAAGCUCCGGCCAACUACGUGCCAGCAGCCGCGGUAAUACGUAGGUGGCAAGCGUUAUCCGGAUUUACUGGGUGUAAAGGGCGUGUAGGCGGGAAAGCAAGUCAGAUGUGAAAACCAUGGGCUCAACCUGUGGCCUGCAUUUGAAACUGUUUUUCUUGAGUACUGGAGAGGCAGACGGAAUUCCUAGUGUAGCGGUGAAAUGCGUAGAUAUUAGGAGGAACACCAGUGGCGAAGGCGGUCUGCUGGACAGCAACUGACGCUGAGGCGCGAAAGCGUGGGGAGCAAACAGGAUUAGAUACCCCCGUAGUA
rnacentral:rRNA from 1 species